CUGCGGCGCAUCCCGGCAGCCACCGCGGCGACUGGGCGGCGGGUGCCAUGCGCCUGGAGCUUCUUUUUCCCAGCUCCCGCCCACCGCGGCCGCCCGCCUCCACGGUCACGCCCCAGACCGCUGACACCUGUCAAGCAGCUCCAUGGACUGUAGCCCUCAAGGCUCCACUGUCCAUGGGAUUUCCCAGGCAAAAAUACUUAGUGAAUUGCCAUUUCCUUCUCCAGAGGAUCUUCCUGACUCAGGGAUCAACCCUGCAUCUCCAGGCGGAUUCUUUACCACUGAGCCACCUGGGAAACCCAAAGAUAAAAUUACCCAACAACUGUUCUGAAGACGUCUCGGUCAUCUACAUUUUGACUUCAUUUCUGGAGAGCAGCACUUAGUGAAAUGGGAGGUGCGUCAGUAGGACUGUGCUCCACAACCGUUUUCAGCCAGCUAAUCAGAUAGACUUUUAUCAGCCACCUUGCAGACCUCAACCAUCAGAAGUAAGAGCUCCUUUUCGCAUAAGGUGCGAUUUAAAAUCGACUGGCUAGAACCUCCAGUACAAUGUUGAAGAGAAGUUGUGGUAGUGGCACCUUUGUCUUGUUCCUGACUUCAAAGGGAAAUCUUUCAACACUUCAUCAGUGUUUCAACAGGGUUGCUGAGUUUUUGUUUCAUUUUGUUUUUUAACAAAUCUUUGAGCAGAUUAAGGAAUUCCCCUUCUAAUCCUAACUCUCUUGCUGAGAGUUUUUAUCAUGAUUGGAAAUGAGUUUUAUCAGAUUGUUUUCUGUACCUGUUGAGAUGAUCAUAGGAUUUUUCUCUUUUAUUCCCUUUGUAUGGUAAAUUAUGUGGGUUGGUUUUCCACUCUUCAGCCAACCUUGCAAUGCUGGCAUGAACCCAACCUGAUCAUGAUAUACUGGCCUUUUUGUAUAUCAUUGAAUAUAGAGUAGUAUUAAAUUUUUGUUUAAUCUUUUGUGUUAUGUUUACAAGUAAGGUUGGUCUGUUAUUUUCCUUCUUUUAGUAGAAACAUGUCAGAUUUUGCUGGUCUCAUGAAACAAGCUAGUGAGUACUUCUUUGUUUUCUAGGCUCAAGAAGACUUUGUGUAAGACUCAUCAUUAUUUCUUCCUUAAAUGUUUGCUACAAUUCACCAAAGAAACAAUGUGAACCUAGAGUUUUCUUUAUGAGAAGGUCUUUUUAUUAAAAGAUUAAAUAGUUUAAUGCUACUCAGAUUUUCUGUAUCUGCUUGUUUCGGUUUUUAACAGUUUUUUUUAGCACAUUGUCUGCUUCAUUUACAUUUUCAAAUUUAAUGACAAAGUUUUUCAUAGUAUCUUCUAUUAUCACUUAAUGUCUAUAGAAUCUUUGGUAAUGUCCUACUUUUUUAUUCCCAAUACUGGUUAUUUUGCUCUCUCUCUUUUUUUAAAUCAAUUUACCAGGCAUUUAGCAAUUUUAUUACUUUUUUUUUUCUUCUUCUUCUUCUGUCUUCCCUGAGCAUCACGGCAGCGCGUCAGGGAUUGCCACGCAGCGUUUAAAGACGAUGUCACUCACACGAGGACGCCUGGCGAGAGCUUUUAUUACUUUUUUAAAAGACCAACUUUUGACUUUGUUGAUCCAAUUAUAUGUAUGCUUUUUUAAAUUAAUUUCUACUAAUAUUAUUUCCUAUCUUCCAGUUUUUUCCUAAUUUUUUAAAAUGAAUGCUUAGCUCAUUGGUUUCUCAGCCUUCUGUUGUGUUUCUUUUCUUAUAUUUACAUUUAGGGCUAUAAAUUUCUCUAUAAGCAAUUAACUUCAAGUUUUGAUAACAUUAUUUUCAUGAUUUUUCAGUUCCAAAUAGUUUCCACUUGUAUUUGAAAAGAAUGAUUUGUAUUCUCUCUUGUUUAGGAGUAUAGUGUUCCUCAGAUACAAAUUUGAUCUAAUGAUUGUAUUGUUCAAGUAUUGUAUUAUAUUCAAGUAUUCAAGUUCAAGUAUUGUUUUAUAUGUUGUAUUGUUUUAUAUCCCAACUGAUAUUUUGUUUACUUACUUUAUCAGUUAUUGAAGGAUGUUAAGAUCUCCCACUAUCAUUAUGGGUUUAUCUCUUUUUCCUUCUACUGCUAAUCUUUGCUUUCAGUACUUUGAACCUCUAUAUUAAAUGUCAAAAUUAUGAUAUUUU